AGACCGAUAGCGAACAAGUACCGUGAGGGAAAGAUGAAAAGAACUUUGAAAAGAGAGUUAAAGAGUACCUGAAACUGCUGAAAGGGAACCGAAUCGUUUCCAGUGUCUAUAAUCCGUGGUAUAUUUCAUUGGCGAGUGUGUGCGUGCGUGUGCUGUGGCAGCGGCUUUUUAGGCUGCGCUCGGCGUGUGUGCUGUGUGUGCUUGCUGGUGCCCUGUACUGCGGUGGGACGUCAAGGUCAGUUCGUAUGCUGCGGGAAAUGGCUGCCGAGGAGGUAGGGCUUACGCUUGCGUUUGUCUGUUAUAUCUUGGUGGACGAGUAGUCGCGGUUGGGACUGAGGUGCCUACAACGUGCUUUUGAGUGGGUUUGUGUCUCCGUGUGCGCCGUGUGCGGAUAGCUUGCUAUGCGUGUGUGGUUGUGUGUGGAUUGAUGCGGGCUUUAACUUGUUGCCGUUCGGGACGUUGACGAAAUGGAGCGAUUCGACCCGUCUUGAAACACGGACCAAG
rnacentral:rRNA from 1 species